rnacentral:rRNA from 1 species
GCGACCCCAGUCAUACGACGCGCCCCCGCCCCC